UUUCUCAGAUUUCUUCCCCCUUCUUGUGGGUGUUUACAUUAGUAGGGCAUUGUGGGUCCUGUGAUAUUUGUGGUGUCUAUAAAUCACGUGUCACGGUCUCACGGACGUCCAAUGAGAGCCCGCCGGUAGCCGGUAGUUAGUUCAAUGACGUAUCACGGCAAAACCAAUCACGGGCGCUGGACUGUAGGACGUCCAAUGGGAGCCCGCCAUGCUGGGAGGUAUUCUAUUGUUGCAUUUGUUUCUACUGAGAGAGGUGAGCCUGACCACGGCUCUUCCUUCUAUUUGCUAAGCUGCUUUUAUUGUGGACGCCCGUCACCCACUCCUCUGACUCAUGCACUGAUUGGACUUGGGAGAUGACAACGGCCACAGUUCUCCUCAGCAAUCCCCAUGGAGGACGGCAACACUCCCUUCCCUGCUCCCACACUGCUGCCGAUCCUGGUGGUGGUGAGCUGGACUCCCUCCCUACCCUCAUGACUUGGUCAACAAGGACACCACAACUGCACCCUUCCUGUGGUUGCUGGUUGAGGUCGUCUUUGUGAGUGCUGCACCAUGGACCAGAGGUGAGCAGAAUGGCUGCGUCUGAGCUGCCCGACAACACCGGAAGAGGACUGAAUGGGAGGUGGAACAAGAGAGACUAGAGUGUGAGAGAAGGUUGGAUCUGUACAAUGCAGAAAUACUGUCCAAGAGACUAAAGGGAAAAGGAUCCAAGACUGUUCUUGCUGGUGAGCUCCACUAAGUGUGCCAACACACACCAAGCAAAACCACUUCACCCACCAGUCCACUACUUGGUACUAUAGGAGCAGCUUGACUUCAAUGUGGACAUUCUUCUGCAGUCCUGGACAGCUGUUCUUAGUGAUGGAGGCAAGUGUGAUGUUGUGUGACGUAUUUGUAAGCUGGUUGCUGCACUCUGUAUCAAUCUAGACACUAGCCUGUCUUGUUGCUUUCCUCCACAUCC
rnacentral:lncRNA from 1 species